UGUAAGACUGUUGGAAAUGUUUUCCUCUGGAUAGUAAGGAGGACUCACAUGUUGUCACACUAUUACAUUCUACAGGCUACAGCUGCAAGUAUUCCACCUAUUCGUUUCAGCUUCUAUCCAGUAAUGAGAUCAUUCACUUUCAACUACUACAGGUAAAACUAAAAUGCUGCUUGUCCGAUUUGUGAAACUAUACUCUGGGUGACAGAGUAUAGAUAAAGCAUUAUUCAGUGGGUGUAUUGUAUUUGUUUUUUUGCUAUUGCUCAUUCAUUCAUUUCUAUUCUCUUUUGUCAAUAGGUAACGGAAGCUAGCAGUUCAGUUGCCAUGGAGUCCCAAGGCUGUAGGAGGGGCCUCAACCAUCUCAUUUUCAAUGAGGGAGUAGAUAUAGACCUCAUCACUACAGACCGGGCCACAUCAGUUCGGAAAAUAAUGAGGGAGGAAUUCAAGAAUGUUCACCAUGAAUUUGAUCCUUGGCAUGUAUCAAAAGGCAUAAAGAAAAAACUGGUAGCACUCGCCAACAAAAAGGAAAAUCGGGUCCUGCAGGGCUGGAUUCGGGCGAUCCUCAAUCACUUUUGGUUCUCAUGCUCAUCUUGUGGUGAGAGUGCUGAGGAACUGAAGCGACGGUGGACCUCAGUCCUCCACCACAUCUGUGGGGAGCACACAUGGGAGCAAGAUGGAAGAAAGUGGGCAUGCCCUCACCCUGCUCUAAACCCAGAUCGGCAAAGGACAAAGCGAUGGCUCCAGCCAGAGUCUCAAGUGUUCAAGUCUUUACGGAAUAUUG